GUCAAAUUUAUGAUUUAGGGCCAAAAGGAAGGGAUUUAGGAGGUGAUUUUUUCCACCCAUUAAUUGAAUUGAUAGGAGGGAGCAGUUGUUUCCUACUCAUUUUCACGUAAGAACAUCCACAAAUUCUCUCCCAAAUUUCCAUCAAGUUUAAUCAAUCAAUGAUAAGUAAGUGAGAUUCUACUUAUUUUCUUCGUCAAUCAAGAUAGUUGAAUCAAAAUUUUCAUCUCUUUUCACGUCAAACUCAAGGUAGGUAGGAAGAGUUAGAUUUAUUGAUGGAAUCUGGUGAUGUUAUUAGUUGUAAAUUGAUAUCAAAUCAUUACAACUCAGAUUUGUGAAGUUUGGAUUGGGUUUUGAUAGGAUGGAGUGAAAAAAGUGACCGAAAGUUCAAAUUAAAGGAAGAUAAAAGCGUUGGAAGAUUAGUACAUUUUGGUUUGUGCUCUCUUAUUUUAUGAAAUGUCCUAUAUUUUUUUUCCUAAAUUACUAUCUCUGAAUUCUGAUUGUUGGGUUGUUAAUUAAACUAGCUUAAUGGUGAUUAUGAUGGUCGAUUGAAACUUUGGUGUGUAUGUAAUAAUUAGCUUGUGGUAGAUUGUUAAAUGUGAGUUAUUUUGUUUAUGUUGGAAAUUUAUGUGAUAAUGACGAAAUAAUCUUACUAAAUAAUUUUGAAAAGUUUUAAGUAUAAUUGAUAUGUUAUAAGAUAUAUAGAGUUAUUUAAA